rnacentral:lncRNA from 1 species
UCCUAAUAUCACUGAAGAAUAAUCACUUGUUCUCGUUGUUGCUACUUGCUACUGCCUUUUUCUCUUUAUUUUCUUAAGGCCAAAGAAAAAGAAAAAGAUACUACUAGUCAAUCAAUACAUCUCUAUAUAGAAGACCAUUUAAAAGUGUUUCUUCUUUGCCAUUACGUGCACCUCUACCACCAAUCUUUCAACCACUUCCUUUGUCAUGGCUGCUAGCUAUAUAGAAGAAGAAGAAGAAGAUCAAUAGAGAGAGGCUAAUAAAAAAUGACCCAUGUUUUGUUAUCGGCUGGCUGACGUAUCCUAACGUUAUUGUUACACCGAUCAUGCAUGUGAAGCAAAAAAACACGAAGUUCCAGGAUCAACGGCUCCACCACACGUACGUAAGCGCCUCUCAAAGUUAAUAUAUAGCAGGAUUAUGAAUACACUUUCCCGCCAUCUAAAACCAAGGGUCUUAUGGUCAUAUCCAAUCUUCCCUAACAACAACAAAAUAAAAUAAAAUAAAGGAAACAUAAACAUCGGCAGCCCCCAGCAUUGAGAUGCAAUACUGCACACAAUACCAUUACCCAUACCAACCAUUUUUAUAGCGUGCGUUCAACCUGUUACCUCUACAUGCGGCAACGUAAAUAUGUGAUAGUACUGAUGAUCAUGAAUAAACGUUCAUCAUUACUUACUUUAAUUUGUAUUUUACUAUUUAUUGAUUUUGGUGAGCCUCAUUCUCAUAUAUAAUUGACACAUUUGUAAGGCUACAUAAUGAACAUCGAUCGCUCUCUCUCUCUAUUCUCUUUAGCCAUUCCUCUAAACCGUACGUGUUUAUAUUUUAUUUCGAUAAAACACCUAAAAAGCCCCUUUUAAUUUUCCCUUUUGAUUAAAUAGACUUAGAAAAUAUAGGACAAUAAAUACCUUUUUCUUCGGAGGAAAUUCAAAGGUUGUUGAUGAUUUCCACAAUUAGAAACAAAAUAUGUCUGUAUGCAGUCAGUAUCAAAAUUAGGUAUUGACAGAAAACAAAAAAAAAAGUCAUAAGAAGAUAUGAAGUGUGAGGAUCGGAGAAACCGUUUUGAACGUACGUAAGACAUUUGAAAUGUAUAUAGUAGCUAGUAGUAAUCUAGAUUUGCUUACAAGGAAUGUUGAGUUGUGUCAUUGGCUACUCUAACGCAAUAGCUAACGUGCACGGCUUGCUUCUUCUUUC